GACGAACGCUGGCGGCGUGCCUAAUACAUGCAAGUAGAACGCAGUUGCGAACGGGUGAGUAACGCGUAGGUAACUGCCUCAUAGCGGGGGAUAACUCUUGGAAACGAUAGCUAAUACCGCAUACUUUGAGAUGGACCUGCGUUUUAUUAGCUAGUUGGUGGGGUAAAGGCUCACCAAGGCGACGAUACAUAGCCGACCUGAGAGGGUGAUCGGCCACACUGGGACUGAGACACGGACCAGACUCCUACGGGAGGCAGCAGUAGGGAAUCUUCGGCAAUGGACGAAAGUCUGACCGAGCAACGCCGCGUGAGUGAAGAAGGGUUUCGGAUCGUAAGACUCUGUUGUUAGGGAAGCGGUAUCUAACCAGAAAGCCACGGCUAACUACGUGCCAGCAGCCGCGGUAAUAC
rnacentral:rRNA from 1 species